GACGAACGCUGGCGGCGUGCUUAACACAUGCAAGUCGAACGGAAAGGCCCUUUCGGGGGUACUCGAGUGGCGAACGGGUGAGUAACACGUGGGUGAUCUGCCCUGCACUUCGGGAUAAGCUUGGGAAACUGGGUCUAAUACCGGAUAGGACUACGAAUCGCAUGGUUUGUGGUGGAAAGCUUUUGCGGUGUGGGAUGGGCCCGCGGCCUAUCAGCUUGUUGGUGGGGUGAUGGCCUACCAAGGCGACGACGGGUAGCCGGCCUGAGAGGGUGUCCGGCCACACUGGGACUGAGAUACGGCCCAGACUCCUACGGGAGGCAGCAGUGGGGAAUAUUGCACAAUGGGCGCAAGCCUGAUGCAGCGACGCCGCGUGGGGGAUGACGGCCUUCGGGUUGUAAACCUCUUUCACCAUCGGCGAAGCCGGGAGCUUUUGUUUCUG
rnacentral:rRNA from 1 species